rnacentral:rRNA from 1 species
GACGAACGCUGGCGGCGUGCCUAAUACAUGCAAGUAGGACGCAGUUGCGAACGGGUGAGUAACGCGUAGGUAACUACCUAUUAGAGGGGGAUAACUAUUGGAAACGCUAGCUAAUACCGCAUACUAGUAGAUGGACCUGCGUUGUAUUAGCUAGUAGGUAGGGUAAUGGCCUACCUAGGCAACGAUAGUUAGCCGACCUGAGAAGGUUGUCGGGCACACUGGGACUGGGAAACGGCCCAGGAUCCUACGGGAGGGAGCAGUAGGGAAACUUCGGAAAUGGGGGGAACCCUGACCGAGCAACGCCGCGUGAGGGAAGAAAGUUUUCGGAUCGUAAAGCUCUGUUGUUAAGGAAGCGGUACUUAACCAGAAAGGGACGGCUAACUUCGUGCCAGCAGCCGCGGUAAUAC